rnacentral:lncRNA from 1 species
CUGCCUUUCUCUGAAGACACAACUGUCAUUAUGGGACUUCUGCUUGAUGCUACCUCAUUCAUACAGCACGCUACAAGGAUGGAUACUGUCUUCAAUCCUGUGUUCUGGAUCCUUGCCAUCUGUCACGUAUUUUCCUCGCUUCUUCUACCUACCUUGUUCUAAGUCCCUCUAACAACUUUGCCUCUAUCAGCCAUUUUUUGCCAACUAUAAGAGGUUAGAUUGUGGUGGUCCCCAAAAUGCCUAACAGCAGUUUGACCACUGGGAAGAAGAGUGAGUGACUAGGCACUAUACAGGUCUCUGAUAAACAGACAAACAGGAAGAGGAGCCACAAGUAGAUAAUAAAGAUGCAAAAUUUCGAAUUUCUCCCUUAUACUCUUGACCAAAACAAAGGCCUAAAGAUCUAGUUGGCUUUUUC